GCGAGUGGCGCACGGGUGCGUAACGCGUAUGCAAUCUACCUUUAACUGGGGGAUAGCCCCGAGAAAUCGGGAUUAAUACCCCAUAAUAUUGAGGAGGGACAUCCCUUUUCAAUUAAAGCUCCGGCGGUUUUAGAUGAGCACGCGUGACAUUAGCUAGUUGGUGAGGUAACGGCUCACCAAGGCAACGAUGUCUAGGGGUUCUGAGAGGAUUUUCCCCCACACUGGUACUGAGACACGGACCAGACUCCUACGGGAGGCAGCAGUAAGGAAUAUUGGGCAAUGGGCGCAAAGCCUGACCCAGCCAUGCCGCGUGAAGGAUGACGGCCCUAUGGGUUGUAAACUUCUUUUGUACGGGAAAAAACCACCGGUCGUGACCGGUGCUGAUGGUACCGUAAGAAUAAGCAUCGGCUAACUCCGUGCCAGCAGCCGCGGUAAUACGGAGGAUGCAAGCGUUAUCCGGAUUCAUUGGGUUUAAAGGGUGCGCAGGCGGAAUAAUAAGUCAGUGGUGAAAUCCUACGGCUCAACUGUAGAACUGCCAUUGAUACUGUUAUUCUUGAGUACACUUGAAGUGGGCGGAAUGUGUCAUGUAGCGGUGAAAUGCUUAGAUAUGACACAGAACACCGAUCGCGAAGGCAGCUCACUAAAUUGUAACUGACGCUCAUGCACGAAAGCGUGGGGAUCAAACAGGAUUAGAUACCCUGGUAGUCCACGCUGUAAACGAUGAUUACUCGAUGUUGGCAGAUAUACUGUCAGCGUCUA
rnacentral:rRNA from 1 species